UCCUCGCUCGAAGAAUCGCAACGAAGCACACGCACAGAGCGCACUUGCGGCGUCUCUUCCCUCGAAUGCUUUGGGAGAAAGUCCCCGGACAUCGAUCUUCGCGAUCGCACUUUUAGCAACGAACCGCCAUAGAAGCUGCGGCUUCCAUCACCGACUACGGCACUUCUCCGCUUCUCUUCAUCGCUUUUACUCGAAUUCCACUAGCUCGCCCGACGCUGCGAGUGGAGGGGCUGGCACCUGGAUGAUGACAUGAGUCCGUUGGCUACCUUGCUUGCAUGCCGAGGGUCGCAACAGAGAAUCGAGGAGUUGGGAGACGAUGGAGAGUGCCAAGGUAUGGAGGGUCUUCUCGUCGAGUUUAUGGUAAUGCGAUUGCCUUUCCUGCGCUUUGGUAAAACAAAGUCGGCUGGAGGGUAACUCAAUGGGGCUUAUUCUCGAGGCGAGG
rnacentral:RNase_MRP_RNA from 2 species